rnacentral:lncRNA from 1 species
UUAAAGUGCAUGAUCGCGUGUCAGAUGACUUAAGUGCAUUUUAGUUAGGUUCAUUUGGGCGGUUCUGCCACACGGCACCUCCUCCACUCCGCCGUCCCUCUUCCACCGUCGUUGCCAACCUUCACCACGUCACGGCCGUCGCCCACCCUGACACCGACACCACCCCCUUCUAGGCCCCCAGCGCCUCCCGCGACCUUCGUCGCCCGUCCCCCACCACGCCGACCGCAGGCCUCGUCUAUGCUGACGUAAGCCCGUGGUCGGAUGACAUUAGCUUUUUCUUUUUUAUUUCUGGAAUAUGUUAAAAUUGCUAGAAAUUAUAGAAAAAAUUUUAAAAUAGCUAGCACUAAUAGGAAAAAUGUUAGAAUAGUAGAAAUUUG